GGCAGAAAGUGCAUCGCAUCACAGAUGAUAAGACGAACGUUCUCAGCUUCAUUUUACAAUUUUCCUUCAUUCGGGUCUUUGGCGGGGAGUUGUGUUGUGGCGUACUUACGUAACGUAAUGUCAUUGACAUUGGAUGAUAAGUGUUAAUUAAUACCUAAAGGACUGUAAGUAUUUUUUUGGAACAAUGCCGAGAAGAUCAGUUAGAAUUUUGUCGAUGCUCAAAAAUCCCGUCCAUCCGUAAGACAGCAUCCAGGAUGAAUAUGAUCUUCAAGACAUCGAACGUUGUCAAGAUGCCCUAAAUCCUGAAGAAAACCGAAUCGCACCAAUACAGACUACAGGGGAAAUUAUGGAGGAGAUAGAUUUGAUAAAACCAAAUACAAAAGGUAAACUCCAGCAUAAAUCUCUAGUAGCGCGCCAUAUGGUCUUCAGAAGAAAAAUCAGCUGUCUUAGGUUUUUUCAACCAAGAAAUUAAAAAAAGAUCUAGUACCCGGAGAAGCUCAAUGUGAAAAGUGCUUAGAAGAACAUGAUGUUUUGCCCACAAGAUCAUGGACCGGCGUAAAAUUCUGCAUUAAAAACCAUCUAGACAAGAGAAAAGAUGAGUGUCUUUACUCAUAGAAAGUUAAAAACUGCCUUUGUUGUACUAUAGUGCGGCAUUUUACACGUUUAAUCUAUUUCUUAUUACUAAAAAAUGUACAGGUACUAGCUAGCUUUACUGAAAGCAUUGAAUUUAUAGAUAGUUAUCAAUUCAAUGCUGAAAGUACCAUUGCUGUACUAAUUAAGAUUAUUGUAGUUUUCUGAAACAUUUUUAAUUUUUCUGUUGUUCAUUGGGAUUUAUAAAAUUCCUUCUGUAUUUGUGUAUAUAGCCAACUGAAUAAAGAUUUCU